CGGCAAGUCUGUCCUUGGCUACACCUAGUUCUCUUCCUCUCGUGUAUGGCCCUCAAGCACCGUCAAGAGAUCUAGGACCUGCAUUCAUAUAUCAUCAGCCCACUCCAGAGGAAACGUAAGGGCAAGUAUGCAUCUAACCUCAAGUUGACAUAUUUCUAUUUCUCCUGCAAUUUUGGGUCUUCCAAAAAAAUCAGAAAUUUGAGAUAUAUGAAUAUUAUUACAAACAUACAGGGCUUGCAUACAAUACAAGCCCAAGCCCCAUCUGGCAUCAUACGUCAAAUUUCAUACAUGCAUCUGUCAGACAAUAUAUAUCCUCACUAUUUUGUACCAUUAUCGCAUGCUAAUCUUUGAUGUUUGAUGGAAAA
rnacentral:precursor_RNA from 1 species